UUUUGGUAAUAAUUAAAAAAUGAUUAAAAAUAUUAUGGAAAGAGGAGUAUGACAUCAAAUGAAAAUGAGAUUUCAAGUAGUGAUAGCAAAGCAGAAAAUGAAUUUUUAUCUCAAUAUUAUGAAAUUAGCAUCAACAAGGUGAAAAAUAAGGAAUUGUCUGCGAAGAAAUCUGACGACGCAGUUUCUGAUACGGAUCCGAUUUUGACGGCAAAAAAUAAACAGUUAAACUUAAAAAAAAUUAUUUCUAAAAAGCUUCAGUCAGGUGAAUCAAAAAGACGGAAAAGCUCGAGUGAUAAUAAUUUGAAGCUUUUGCUUACCAUACAUCGUUCGAUCCAGAAAAAGAGUUUCAAGAAUUAAAUUCUCGAUAUCCACCUGUCUCUCCUGAAAUUUUCGAAAAAUCCUUGAAAAAUAAGGAAAUCUUGAUCAAAAAGGAAAAUACAGAUAUAGAAUUUUUUCGAAUCAAAUGAAGUAUUAGCAGACUCAAGUACUUAUCUUCUAAUUCCUUGCCUAGAUUCAAUUUCAGAGAAUAAAGAUUGGAGAACAACAUUUUUAAACCAUAUAAACCUUACUUAUAUACUGCAAAUUUGAAGAAAAAACAUUCGGUAAAAAAAGUAUUCACUUUUCUGGAUCAAAAAAAAACCAGGCCCUUCAACAAUGGACUCUUACGAAUCUCUAAGUUUAGUUGCCUCUGAAUUCGAAAUAGAAAAGAAAAGUUCUAUCAAAAUCGACAAAGUAUUUUCUGACUUU